rnacentral:rRNA from 1 species
ACACCUUGUCCUUAGUUACCAGCACGUUAUGGUGGGCGCUCUAAGGAGACUGCCGGUGACAAACCGGAGGAAGGUGGGGAUGACGUCAAGUCAUCAUGGCCCUUACGGCCUGGGCUACACACGUGCUACAAUGGUCGGUACAAAGGGUUGCCAAGCCGCGAGGUGGAGCUAAUCCCAUAAAACCGAUCGUAGUCCGGAUCGCAGUCUGCAACUCGACUGCGUGAAGUCGGAAUCGCUAGUAAUCGUGAAUCAGAAUGUCACGGUGAAUACGUUCCCGGGCCUU